GGCUAGCGCUCCCGCCAGCCGCCGAAGCAUUGGGCGGGGAGGGGCGCGCAUGCGUACCGAGGGUGGCGCCGCUAGGCACAGAACCGGAAACUUAGAGACAAAGUUAGGAGCCCCGCCCCCGCCGCGCGCUGCCUAGCCGUCUGGCCCCGCCGAGCUGCGACCCACCGACCCACGAAUUGGCCUGGCUCUCGCAUGCGCCAUGUCUGGUUCCUCCAGCGUCGCCGCUAUGAAGAAAGUGGUUCAACAGCUCCGGAUGGAGGCCGGGCUCAACCGUGUUAAAGUUUCCCAAGCAGCUGCAGACUUGAAACAAUUCUGUCUGCAGAAUGCUCAACAUGAUCCUCUGCUGACUGGAGUAUCUUCGAGUACAAAUCCCUUCAGACCCCAGAAAGUCUGUUCCUUUUUGUAGGAAAAUGAAUCUUUCAAAGGUUUCCCAAACCACUUCUUAUGAACUGGUGAAUAUUCAAGAACCAACUAAAUCUGAAGCCUGUACAAAAGCUUAUCCUUAUAACAAUACAUGUGCCAUAAUAUGCAAACUUCUACUUUUGUCAGUACUUAACAUCUACCUCUCUGAAUUUUCAUGAACUUCUAUUUCACAAGGGGAAUUGUUUUAUAUACACUGGUGGCUGCAGACAAUAAAAUACUUAGUAUAAAAGUUUU